CUUUACUGUAGGCUGAUAUUGGGUUGAGGUACGUUUUGUGUAGGAUAGGUGGGAGGCUGUGAACCGGUAGCGCCAGCUAUCGGGGAGCCAACGUUGAAAUACCACCCUGAAUGUGCUUUAAUUCUAACCCCAUCCCGUGAAUCCGGGUGGGGAACAGUGUCAGUUGGGCAGUUUGACUGGGGCGGUCUCCUCCAAAAAAGUAACGGAGGAGUCCAAAGGUACCCUCAGCCUGGUUGGCAAUCAGGCGCCGAGCGCAAAGGUAGAAGGGUGCUUAACUGCGAGAUCCAUCAAUCGAGCAGAUACGAAAGUAGGGCUUAGUGAUCCGGUGAUUCCGUAUGGAAGGGUCAUCGCUCAUCAGAUAAAAGGUA
rnacentral:rRNA from 1 species